rnacentral:lncRNA from 1 species
CUCGCAUGCGAGCAACAGCUGACACUUGCUAACCUAGAUGCCGACGCCGCCGCGCGGGCUGGCCAAUUUGGAACUCCAGUUGCACUGUUGCCCGCGCUGUUGUAAUUGUAGUGGGUCCAGGAUCGCCCCAUGGUGCGUGUGUUAGCUUCAUUCUGUUUGUUAAUCUGCUUCGAUGUGGGUAGCAAGUUGUAGCAGGUAAUACGCAGCAGCGCAGUAGGGCUCUUCCUUCCGCACGCAGCCGCGCGACCAAGCGUCCUACGAAGUUUUUACUUGCCACCCAAUAUGUAGUAGCUGGCCGCUGAAAAGGCCUCUUCAGAUGCUGGCAGAGCACUGCAGCGCGUAUUGAUAGACGAUAUCUGUGCGGUACUAUCUACUCUCUACAGCUGCCACACAACAAUACCAAGAAGGAUAGCGUCUCGGCACUGCCAGCUCUUCCAGCCCCUCCCUUGCAGUAUUGCGAACCAGUGCCUGCGCGUCGUGUAUGUCGGAACUGGAGGGAAUUGGCAUGCGCGAUUUUGCAAAUCGAAUGUGUGUCAGCUGCGUGAUAUAUCUGCGUGUAACUCUCAUCAUAAUGCGAUGCUCGUGCGCAGGAAUAUCGGUUGACAAUGCCCUCUACACGUCGGAGCUAAUCACUGGUGAGCCAAUCGUUACUAGCGAGUACACCGAACGUUGUUAGCCAGCCAACGCAUCCUAGGUAGCAACGAAUAGCUGUAUAAACUGAUCGACCCAUAGGUAAGAACGAAGUACGACCUUGCUGCAUGUACCCUAAGUUUGAUCUCCCGACUACACACGUCCCUGCAUGUUCAUGUUUGUCCGUCUGUCCAUCUGUCCGUUGGAUCUCGGGCAAGCUAAAAUCAACCCCUUCCCCUCCAACACCGACGCACGGCUGGGAAGCACCACUAGGUCAGGAAAGGCACUCUGGCGAGACUCGAAGUUCAGUUCUACUUCUUUCCCAAACGCAUGCGCACAGCAGGAAGCCCACUGGCCGGCUAAAGUUCGCAAAAGGCCGGUACCAAACCAACUCGCACUGCUACCGGUUCGCUGCACCAAAACAUCUGUCUGUCUGUCUGUCCGUCUGUCUGUCUGCGUGUCUGUCUAUGAAACCAUUUAUCAGAAUUCCGCUCCAAAGAUCUCUACAAGCUGGCUGUCAUCUACCGAGACGACGUGUUAGAGCUUCGGAGCGCCUGCGAGGGGGUAGUGUCGCAGGCCCAAACACAGCUGCUUACCGUGGUCUUGGAGC